rnacentral:misc_RNA from 1 species
CAACAACUUCCACCUGGCUUACCUUUUCAGUCUUGUGCCAUUGCUUGUAUCGCAUUGAAUGCAUGGUGGGUUUCUUGUGUUGCAUGCCUAAUUGAUGGUAUCAUUUGAAGAACUGAUGUCCCUUUUCAUCUUGUGUCGCACAUGCGAUGUGAGAUGAACCUUGAAGUAGCCUUUGUGAUCCACUCUUUCGAUGUACACGCAUUGAUUUUGUGGCCCACUGUGUGUUGCUUGGUCUCAUGGAUAUGGAACCUGGUGUGGGCAUGGGAUCUUUACUAGUUCCUUGUUUGCCCUGGUUUAGCUUUUCUAAUACACGAUUGUUUAUCACAUUUUAAUGUGGUAGGCUAUAUCGGAUAUGAAUGCUACCUGGUUGAUCCUGCC